CCCUAGAUCGAAAUUUAUUAAAUUAAGAUAAGCAAUGGGGGAAGGAGUUUACGGUUGGAUGGGAACCAGGGAAUUGAUGGUUGAGAGUUUGAUUAAGGGUGGGAUCAAUCUCAACAAAUUGAAACCGGGUACUUACAGAUGAUGCUGGUGUUAGUGAGAAUGGAUUUGGUCCUGGUUUAUUCUUGUCACUUUUAUUUCGUUGUAAUAUUGAUCUCUAGGGAAAUGAUUUCAUAUGAUUACCGUGUCUUUUGUAUGGCGGCCCUUUACCUCCUGAAGAAGAGCGACUCUGGAGCAUAGCAAUUAAAUACCAAUUUUUACAUCAGAUUUCUAAUAUACGAGACUGAAAAAAAAACACCCGAGCUCAUUUUGAAGAUCUGAAAAGUUUUACUAUGCCCUUUUCACCCGAAUUUCCUGUGUUGCGGCUAUUGGAAGAAAAUGCUGAUCAUGAAGCGCGGCUUGGAUAUAUCAAAGUUGUUGAGGUCUAUGAACGCGCUGUGCAUGGGGUGACCUAUACCGUGUUUUUCCCAUAAACACUUACGGGGAUCCACGACACCCUGUACGGAGGUCCACCAUGGAAUGGCUUACUGCAUAUGACACCUUAUGUGGACUAAACUUUAAUAAGGAGUUCUAGAGUAAAAUUGAAAUCCCGCGAUGCCAGGUGUAUAUCAUUGUGGCUGGCUAAUGUUUGAAGCACCGAGUGUUGGAUGAUGUGACAUAGGGUUUCACUGGAGAAGAUGAAAGAGGGAACCUUUUAUGAUUUGCUUGAAAACGAAGGGAGAGACGUUGAUGGUAGGAAAGUCACCAAGGAGGAGGCUCUUCGUAUUAUCGACAAGUAUAAUAAUUAUAACAGGAACCGAUAUUAUGAGGUGGAUGGCGAGAAGAAGCUGGGCAAGGUGGAGAGAACCUUCACCCCUGAAAGUCUUGAAGAAUUAAGGAAGGCAUUAGGUCUACCCCCUAAUUGGAAAGAAAAUAUGCCCAAAGUUAGGGAGAACAUAGCCAAGAGGAAGGACAAGGAGGACAAGGAGAGGCAGAAGCGGAUAGAGGAGGAGAAGAAGCGGGUGGCUGAGAUUAAUGCAUGGCUUGGUUGGUCCUCUGAGGAGGAGGUGCAGCGCCCACCCGUCGGCGCAGGAUGGCUCUUGGAUGAAGGUUAUCAAAAAAUGUUCAAGUACAUGAAACCCGACCCCAAUGAGGACCCCUAUGAGCAGAAGGAGGAUGGUCUAUAACAUAUAAGCCUGCAGUUUGAAAUCAUUAAUUGGUUCUUAAUAAUUACGAGUAUUAUUAUUAAGAAACAUAAGUAGGCUGAUUAUAACUACUGCUUAAUUGCUUGCUCGUGUGUUUUUUUAGUAAUCUUGUGUCAAACUUUGAUCAUCCAUGCAUGUUGUUGGA